rnacentral:rRNA from 1 species
UACGUAGGGUGCAGGCGUUAAUCGGAAUUACUGGGCGUAAAGCGCGUGUAGGCGGCUUGGCAAGUCGGAUGUGAAAGCCCACGGCUCAACCGUGGAAGCGCAUCCGAAACUGCUUCGCUUGAGUCUCGGAGAGGAAGGUGGAAUGCUUGGUGUAGAGGUGAAAUUCGUAGAUAUCAAGCAGAACACCUGCGGCGAAGGCGGCCUUCUGGACGAUGACUGACGCUGAGACGCGAAAGCGUGGGGAGCAAACAGG